UGCCAUUCUUAACGGGAUGGCUUUUCAUUAGUGUAAAGAGCUUUUGGAAUAAGAGCUGGGCAAGACCGGUGCCAGCCGCCGCGGUAACACCGGCAGCUCUAGUGGUAACAAUUUUUAUUGGGCCUAAAGCGUCCGUAGCCGGUUUAAUAAGUCUCUGGUGAAAUCCUGUAGCUUAACUGUGGGAAUUGCUGGAGAUACUAUUAGACUUGAGACCGGGAGAGGUUAGAGGUACUCCCAGGGUAGAGGUGAAAUUCUGUAAUCCUGGGAGGACCGCCUGUUGCGAAGGCGUCUAACUGGAACGGUUCUGACGGUGAGGGACGAAAGUU
rnacentral:rRNA from 1 species